UACGUAGGGUGCAAGCGUUAAUCGGAAUUACUGGGCGUAAAGCGUGCGCAGGCGGUUGUGUAAGUCAGAUGUGAAAUCCCCGGGCUCAACCUGGGAAUUGCAUUUGAGACUGCACGGCUAGAGUGUGUCAGAGGGGGGUAGAAUUCCACGUGUAGCAGUGAAAUGCGUAGAGAUGUGGAGGAAUACCGAUGGCGAAGGCAGCCCCCUGGGUUAACACUGACGCUCAGGCACGAAAGCGUGGGGAGCAAACAGG
rnacentral:rRNA from 1 species